rnacentral:pre_miRNA from 1 species
CUAAAAUUAUAGCACGAGUGUUCGGUCUAGUCACUUAAUAUUGUUUAGAAAAGAGACUAUACCGACAAUCGCCAUUUAAUUUUAAAAU